GUACACGAGCGGCGAACGGGUGAGUAACACGUGGGUGAUCUGCCCUGCACUCUGGGAUAAGCCUGGGAAACUGGGUCUAAUACCGGAUAUGACCUGCUCUCGCAUGGGGGUGGGUGGAAAGAUUUAUCGGUGCAGGAUGGGCCCGCGGCCUAUCAGCUUGUUGGUGGGGUAAUGGCCUACCAAGGCGACGACGGGUAGCCGACCUGAGAGGGUGACCGGCCACACUGGGACUGAGACACGGCCCAGACUCCUACGGGAGGCAGCAGUGGGGAAUAUUGCACAAUGGGCGAAAGCCUGAUGCAGCGACGCCGCGUGAGGGAUGAAGGCCUUCGGGUUGUAAACCUCUUUCAGCAGGGACGAAGCGUAAGUGACGGUACCUGCAGAAGAAGCACCGGCUAACUACGUGCCAGCAGCCGCGGUAAUACGUAGGGUGCGAGCGUUGUCCGGAAUUACUGGGCGUAAAGAGUUCGUAGGCGGUUUGUCGCGUCGUUUGUGAAAACCCGGGGCUCAACUUCGGGCUUGCAGGCGAUACGGGCAGACUUGAGUGUUUCAGGGGAGACUGGAAUUCCUGGUGUAGCGGUGAAAUGCGCAGAUAUCAGGAGGAACACCGGUGGCGAAGG
rnacentral:rRNA from 1 species